rnacentral:ncRNA from 1 species
UUAAAGCCGAGGGGCCUUGCGGAAACGUCAGGAGACGUCUACCGGACACAGUAGCAAGUGAGCCCGCCCUACAACCUUGUCUGAUGACGGUGUAGUGAAAUACUGGGUCAUGAGAAUGGCCAAUCAGACAGUAGCAAU